GCGCCGGUAGCUCAGCUUGGAUAGAGCGAUAGCCUCCUAAGCUAUAGGUCGGGAGUUCGAAUCUUCCUCGGCGCG
rnacentral:tRNA from 1 species